CUGUAAUACUUUACCAAUAUUUCUUACCAGAGCAAGAGUUCUUCUUUAAUACUUUCCCCCACUUUCUUUGUUGAAAUCAAAGGAUAAAUAGUAACAUGGAGAGGUAUAAGAAAUGUAUGUGAUAGCCUGGAUUAGCUGCAGUACUUAGGGGAGUUGUGGAGUUGAGUUUAUCGAGAGUGUCUGUACUUUCUUUUAUUUUCUCUCUCUAAAAUUCUCUCGACCAUCUCCGCUUAGGUCGACCUCUCUAGCCGACCAACAUCCAACCUUUUGCGGAUUCUCUCUAAUAAUAUUUCUGUCAUGUGAAACCGAGCUAGGCGAUUUUAACAAGAAAGUCAAGUAUGAGUAGAUUUGGAAGAAGGUUUCUUGCUAUAGAGAACAAAUCCUUUGACUUGGUAUGUGAACGGAGAAGAGCGGAUAACUGAGAACGGACAAGGGUUUCAACUAUCGAUUUGUUUAGAUAAAGAGGAGUAUGAAUGGUUUCUUGAUGCUCUUAAUGAGUUCUUAUGGAGAAGGAAGCCGAGAAUAUGGGCAAAACAUCUAGUGUAGAGAAACUAUGAGAUAUGGUUCUCGUUCGGGAAGAAUAGAAGAGGAGAAUAGUUAACAAUGCAUUGGGGUAGUCAGACGAAGGGGAUAUUCUUUCCUAGUGGGUUUCAGGGGAAUGGUUGGUAGCAAUCGCUGGUGGCUAGUUUUGAGCUUGCAAAUAGGCCAGUGAAAAACCCUAAAUCUGCGGAAGGGAGUAGUAAGGUUAACUUGAAUCGACACUUGGAGAAAGUGAAUCAACAGAAGAAACUAUGGAUGAUUUCUUUUCCAUGUCCGCACUGUAAUGGUCCGAUUAAUGCUUCAAUAGUGGGAGGAAAUCCUUGAUCAUAUGAGGCGGCGCUGGAAGGCCCUGAAAGGAACGUGAAGCGGGUACGGUUGAGGCAAACCAGAGGCAAAACGAAUCGGGCUGGUCCGAUAAACCUGAACCAUUCGGGUACUCGAUUUCCGAAUGAGGCAAAAACGCAAAUAAUACCUGUCGUUUUGGUCUAGAAAGGGUUUUAUCUAUGAGAGAUACGGGCCAGACCCAAAACAAAAGAAAUGGGCUGGGUAAGCCGAAUUGGUAUAAUUGGAAAGAAAAAGAGAAAUGGGUUGCCAACCCAGAAAUAGAAGAGGGCCCUCCAAACUCUGGGUCGGGUUUUGGCUCAAACCCAACCCGGGGCGAAUGCUCGGGUACAAAAGUAGUGGUCUUGCAUGAUGCUGAAGUAAUUGGAAAAAGAGAGGAAGAAAGAAAAGGGGAGGAGGGGAAAUUAGGGUUUACGAUUUCGAAAAUGGAAAAGCCAGAGACGGAGGGUGAAGAUGUAGAAGAGUCAAAGAGACAAAGCGAAGAGGAGGAUGAGGAGCUGUGCUCAGUUUACUUUACGAUGGAAGACUUUGAUAAUGUAAGUAAAAGGCAGAUAGAAGCUGAGAGCGAAAAUGAAAGAAUGUCAAAUCUAGCGAUGGUUAUGGUAGAAGAGGAUGCUCAGGCGAUAACCACCGAUUAUAAUCCUAAAAUUGUAAGAAAUCAUUCAGUUGAGUUUGGAGGGUGUAAAAAUCACAACGAGAGAAGUAGAAUACUGCUCACAGUGGGUCACUAAUAAUGUUUAGAAAUUCAGCAAACAGAUGGGAGUUUCGCUGGAAGAAUAUCAGGGUUCCUAAGGAGAGGAAGGUGAAUAAAGCUUGGAUAAAUGGUCUCUUUUCACCCAAGACUAUUGUGGUGGGCUGAAUAGUAGGCCAUCAAUGAGAUUUUUGUUUACUAGGGUUGAAAAAUAAAAAUUUUCGUUUGAAGAGCUUUAAACGUACAAAAGAGAGAGUAGAUGUUUAUACUAAUCUAUAUAUAUAUAUAAAAGAGGUGUGAAGGGCCUUAAACGUACAAAAGAGA